rnacentral:rRNA from 1 species
CUACGGGGGGCAGCAGUGGGGAAUAUUGCACAAUGGACGAAAGUCUGAUGCAGCAACGCCGCGUGGAGGAUGACACAUUUCGGUGCGUAAACUCCUUUUAUAUAGGAAGAUAAUGACGGUACUAUAUGAAUAAGCGCCGGCUAACUCCGUGCCAGCAGCCGCGGUGAAUACGGAGGGCGCAAGCGUUACUCGGAAUCACUGGGCGUAAAGAGCGUGUAGGCGGAUAGAUAAGUCAGGAGUGAAAUCCUAUGGCUCAACCAUAGAACUGCUCUUGAAACUGUCUAUCUAGAAUAUGGGAGAGGUAGAUGGAAUUUCUGGUGUAGGGGUAAAAUCCGUAGAGAUCAGAAGGAAUACCGAUUGCGAAGGCGAUCUACUGGAACAUUAUUGACGCUGAGACGCGAAAGCGUGGGGAGCAAACAGGAUUAGAUACCCCGGUAGUC